CGGGUAGUAGCUUAGUGGUAGAGCUCCCGCUUCGUAGGCGGGAGGACCUGGGUUCGAUUUCCGGCUGCUUAC
rfam:Toxocara canis scaffold1437, whole genome shotgun sequence.